ACACGGGCACCCGGAAGGCAUGGUGAGGACUUUGGGUUUUGCUUGGGGACGCAGGCUUCGCUGGGAUCGAGGGUAAUCAUUAAUGAGUCCCCCCCCCCUGCUGAGAGGUCCACACGGGUUUUGGGGACAGGGAUCUGGGAAACUGCUUUUCACUGGCCCAACUGUCUGAACAACGUGGGGUGGCCGUAGUCCGGGGAAAGGGUGGCAGUACCGGGCUCUCUCUGCACCUGGCACUGUCCCCCGCCAUCCAAGGGGGACAGCACAAUGGGCUCUAGAGGCGUCCCUCCAAAGAUGGUCCCCGGCCCACCCAGGGUCAGCUCCCCACGUGGGAACAAUGACAUCUAGCCCCUCGGACUUGAUUUGUUUUUCACUUAAACAUACGGAAGAGUGUAAGCAGUGACUCGGGGACAACAUGGCCCCUCCCAGCCACCCGGCAGUGGCCACGUGCUUCCCUGUCCGGCUCAGAGCCGUGUCCAUCAGACGCACCGCGUCGCUGGAGGGGUUGCUCACACGGUAGUGUCUGGGGCUGGUGGACAGGAUUCAUUUGGCUCGUGCGCACCAUCCACCGUCGAUGGAAUGGUCUCCAGCUUGUGGUUACUGCGACUCAAGCUGCCAGGAACAUUCUAGAACCGGCCUUCGGUGAGCAGAGCUCUGGUUUCCUCGGGGCGCACACCUGUCAGUGCAGGGCGAGCGUUUCCGAGUGUCGUGGGGUGGCUGGAAAGAGCCACGAGCACGCUGGGAGGCUUAAAUCACAGACGUUUAUUCUCCCACAUUCUGGAAGCGGAGGUCAGGGUGUGGCAGGACCGAGCUCCUCCCUCGGCAGGCUCCAGGGCAAGGUCCUGUCCACCUGUCCCAACUCCUGGAGGCCCCAGGCGUCCCUGGGCUCGUGGCCGCGUCCCUCCAGUGCCUGCCUCUGUGGCCAUGUGGCUGUCUCCUCUGUCUCCGUCUAACAAAGACACUUGUCACUGGGUUUAGGGCUCACCUUGGUAAUCCAGGAUGAUCUCGUCUUCAGACUCUUAGUUACGUCUGAAAAGGCCCUUUUGCCAAACAAGGUCCUGGUCACAGGUUCCGGAGACGAGGAUUCAGCCCGUCACUGUGCACGUACCUUCAUCUGGAGCAGAUGUGGCCAAGCUGUACCCCAAAGUGGUCCCCCCAGUGCCCCCUGUGACCCGCAUGUAACCCUGUGGGCUGUAGGACGGCCCGGGGCUCUCAGCAGCGGUGGGGGCCCAGGCCCUCCAUGGGGUUAACCCUGGCUCAGAGUCAGAGAGAGUAGGCGGGCCCGGGGCAGGCAUUAGGGGGGUGCUGGCCGCAGAGAAUUACAAAUAGUAAGAAAAGCAUCAGGACCCCAGAGCCAGCGUUCUGCGAUGUCGUGGGGAAAACUUCAGGGGGCGAAGGCAACAAUCGUUGCCAGAAUCGCUAUGUUGCUGACGGGACGCAAGCUUCGAACUCGCGUUUGUGUUCUUUACCCUUUAACAGACCCUGUGGGUUCAGAGAAGCCCCAGUGAUGACCCACCUGUCGCGGCCAAGGGAGCUCGCUGCAGGGAAGUCUGACUGUCCUCGCUCGCGGUCCCUUCCGGCGACCACAUGGGCACUGUGUAUCCCCAUGGGGACACAGGGACUGCUAAAAACCGAGACCGGGGAUUGUAGAGAGGACGACACAGCCCUGGGGCCACCCCGUUUCUGUCAUUCUCUGACCACCUGGAGUGCGUGUUCGUGUGCGGGAUUUGAACAUCUGUACAAUUCCAGCGGCGUCUUCUCUCAAGUGUUCAAGUGUUUGUUUUAUUUCAUUUUA